UCCCUGGUGGCUUAGCUAGUAAAGAAUCUGCCUGCAAUGCAGGAGACCUGGGUUCAAUCCCUGGGUUGGGAA
rnacentral:tRNA from 1 species